AACGAACGCUGGCGGCAGGCCUAACACAUGCAAGUCGAGCGCCCAGCAAUGGGAGCGGCAGACGGGUGAGUAACGCGUGAGUAUCUACCUAGUGGUGCGGAAUAGCCCAGGGAAACUUGGAGUAAUACCGCAUAAGCCCGAAAGGGGAAAGAUUUAUCGCCAUUAGAUGAGCCCGCGUUGGAUUAGCUAGUUGGUGGGGUAACGGCCCACCAAGGCGACGAUCCAUAGCUGGUCUGAGAGGAUGAUCAGCCACACUGGGACUGAGACACGGCCCAGACUCCUACGGGAGGCAGCAGUGGGGAAUAUUGGACAAUGGGCGCAAGCCUGAUCCAGCCAUGCCGCGUGAGUGACGAAGGUCUUCGGAUUGUAAAGCUCUUUUGGCGGGGACGAUAAUGACGGUACCCGCAGAAUAAGCCCCGGCUAACUUCGUGCCAGCAGCCG
rnacentral:rRNA from 1 species